rnacentral:misc_RNA from 1 species
AAGUCGUAACAAGGUUUCCGUAGGUGAACCUGCGGAAGGAUCAUUAACACGUAUCCACGUACCAACCCCCAGUGUCACGCCGUGAGUCACGCGAGCCGGCUGAUUGGCCGUAUGCAACAUUCGCUUGUUGCGCGUGCUCAGUUUUUCUCUUUUAUUGUCUCUUUUCAAGAGACAAUAAUAUCCCUAUUCAUUUUUAACCACUUGAACCUAUCAGACUAAAACCAUUUCGAGUUUGAUGAAAAGCGUCUUCGGACGUUUGAUUCCAACCGAAAAAUAAAAUAACAAGAAACAACUCUUAGCGACGGAUUUCUUGGCUCCC